rfam:Salmo salar isolate Sally breed double haploid chromosome ssa12, whole genome shotgun sequence.
AUGACUGAUGACUGUAAGUUGCUUUGGAUAAAAGCGUAUGCUAAAUGGCAUAUA